rnacentral:rRNA from 1 species
AGAGUUUGAUCCUGGCUCAGAUUGAACGCUGGCGGUAUGCUUAACACAUGCAAGUCGAACGGUAGCAGGCCUUCGGGCGCUGACGAGUGGCGGACGGGUGAGUAACGCGUAGGAAUCUGCCUCAUAGUGGGGGACAACGUGGGGAAACUCACGCUAAUACCGCAUACGCCCUACGGGGGAAAGGAGGGGACCUUCGGGCCUUUCGCUAUGAGAUGAGCCUGCGUUGGAUUAGCUAGUUGGUAGGGUAAAGGCCUACCAAGGCGACGAUCCAUAGCUGGUCUGAGAGGACGAUCAGCCACACUGGGACUGAGACACGGUCCAGACUCCUACGGGAGGCAGCAGUGGGGAAUUUUGCGCAAUGGGCGAAAGCCUGACGCAGCAACGCCGCGUGAGUGAUGAAGGCUUUCGGGUCGUAAAGCUCUGUCGAGGGGAAAGAAGUGUAUUGGAGCUAAUAUCUCCGAUACUUGACGGUACCCCUAAAGGAAGCACCGGCUAACUCCGUGCCAGCAGCCGCGGUAAUACGGGGGGUGCAAGCGUUGUUCGGAAUUAUUGGGCGUAAAGCGCGUGUAGGCGGUCUGAUUAGUCUGAUGUGAAAGCCCUGGGCUCAACCCAGGAAGUGCAUUGGAUACUGUCAGACUUGAAUACGGGAGAGGGUAGUGGAAUUCCUAGUGUAGGAGUGAAAUCCGUAGAUAUUAGGAGGAACACCGGUGGCGAAGGCGGCUACCUGGACCGAUAUUGACGCUGAGACGCGAAAGCGUGGGUAGCAAACAGGAUUAGAUACCCUGGUAGUCC